GACCCAGCAUGGCAUAGUGGUUUGAGUGCUGGACUACAACUCUGGAGACCAGGGUUCGAUUCCCAGCUUGGCCA